rnacentral:rRNA from 1 species
GACGAACGCUGGCGGCGUGCUUAACACAUGCAAGUCGAACGGAAAGGCCCUGCUUUUGUGGGGUGCUCGAGUGGCGAACGGGUGAGUAACACGUGAGUAACCUGCCCUUGACUUUGGGAUAACUUCAGGAAACUGGGGCUAAUACCGGAUAGGAGCUCCUGCUGCAUGGUGGGGGUUGGAAAGUUUCGGCGGUUGGGGAUGGACUCGCGGCUUAUCAGCUUGUUGGUGGGGUAGUGGCUUACCAAGGCUUUGACGGGUAGCCGGCCUGAGAGGGUUGACGGCCACAUUGGGACUGAGAUACGGCCCAGACUCCUACGGGAGGCAGCAGUGGGGAAUAUUGCACAAUGGGCGGAAGCCUGAUGCAGCAACGCCGCGUGCGGGAUGACGGCCUUCGGGUUGUAAACCGCUUUCGCCUGUGACGAAGCGUGAGUGACGGUAAUGGGUAAAGAAGCACCGGCUAACUACGUG